rnacentral:rRNA from 1 species
GGGUAGAAGCCUACCAAGGCAAUGAUGCGUAGCCGAGUUGAGAGACUGGCCGGCCACAUUGGGACUGAGACACUGCCCAAACUCCUACGGGAGGCUGCAGUAGGGAAUUUUCCGCAAUGCACGAAAGUGUGACGGAGCGACGCCGCGUGUGUGAUGAAGGCUUUCGGGUCGUAAAGCACUGUUGUAAGGGAAGAAUAACUGAAUUCAGAGAAAGUUUUCAGCUUGACGGUACCUUACCAGAAAGGGAUGGCUAAAUACGUGCCAGCAGCCGCGGUAAUACGUAUGUCCCGAGCGUUAUCCGGAUUUAUUGGGCGUAAAGCGAGCGCAGACGGUUUAUUAAGUCUGAUGUGAAAUCCCGAGGCCCAACCUCGGAACUGCAUUGGAAACUGAUUUACUUGAGUGCGAUAGAGGCAAGUGGAACUCCAUGUGUAGCGGUGAAAUGCGUAGAUAUGUGGAAGAACACCAGUGGCGAAAGCGGCUUGCUAGAUCGUAACUGACGUUGAGGCUCGAAAGUAUGGGUAGCAAACGGGAUUAGAUACCCCGGUAGUCCAUACCGUAAACG